GACGAACGCUGACGGUGUGCUUUAGGCAUGCAAGUCGAACGAGAAAGCCCUUCGGGGUGAGUAAAGUGGCGAACGGGUGAGUAACACGUGGGCAACCUGCCCCUCGCAGGGGGACAACCGGAGGAAACUCCGGCUAAUACCCCGUAAGCUUGUCGAGUCGCAUGGCUCUUCAAGGAAAGGUAGCUUCGGCCAUCCGGCGAGGGAUGGGCCCGCGUUGCAUUAGCUAGUUGGUGGGGUAACGGCCCACCAAGGCGGCGAUGCGUGGCUGGUCUGAGAGGAUGAUCAGCCACACUGGGACUGAGACACGGCCCAGACUCCUACGGGAGGCAGCAGCCAGGAAUCUUGGGCAAUGGGCGAAAGCCUGACCCAGCAACACCGUGUGGGCGAUGAAGGCUCUAGGGUCGUAAAGCCCUGUUGAUAGGGACGAAGGGCGAAGGGUUAAUAGCCCCUAGCUUGACGGUACCUUUCGAGGAAGCCCCGGCUAACUACGUGCCAGCAGCCGCGGUAA
rnacentral:rRNA from 1 species